GGGGUUGUGGCUCAGUGGUAGAGUGCUUGCCUAGCAUGUAUGAGGUACUUCAAUCCUCAGCACCA
rnacentral:tRNA from 1 species